UACGUAGGGUGCAAGCGUUGUCCGGAAUUAUUGGGCGUAAAGAGUUCGUAGGCGGCUUGUCGCGUCGGCUGUGAAAACCUGGGGCUCAACCCCGGGCCUGCAGCCGAUACGGGCAAGCUAGAGUUCGGUAGGGGAGACUGGAAUUCCUGGUGUAGCGGUGAAAUGCGCAGAUAUCAGGAGGAACACCGGUGGCGAAGGCGGGUCUCUGGGCCGAAACUGACGCUGAGGAGCGAAAGCGUGGGGAGCGAACAGG
rnacentral:rRNA from 1 species